UUACUCACAAAAUUUUCUUCAAAGUGGAUCUUCAUUCCAAGUUUUGAAGGAUUUGGUAACAACAAGUAGGUCACACAAGAAUUUUCACGAAAAACUACCAACACAAAAAAAAAAAUGCCAAAUCAUUUUAACCAAAAAAAUAAGUCUACAAAGAUGGGCUCAAUGUUUGGUACGACACUAGAUAAUCAAAUUAAAUCUGUAUUCAAGAUGGCUCCAUCUUCCAUCCAAAGCUUUGAUAUAAAUGUAGAUAACAAAAUCAAAUCGAAAAUUGGUACGAACUCAUCUUCCAUCAAAAGCUUUAAUUCUGGACUAGAUAACAAAAGGUAAGAAUUAGGUAUGGUGCUUCAGGCACAUACUUCAAUCAUUGUAAUUGGUACCGACCAGCACCAAAUAAGGAACACAUUUUGUAUCAUGUAACAUUUAUCAUGUCUAAAAUAAAUGGAAAUAAUCAAAUAUUCAAAUAUUAGAGAUAUA